UACGUAGGGGGCAAGCGUUGUCCGGAUUUAUUGGGCGUAAAGAGCGUGUAGGCGGCUUUACAGGUCCGUUGUGAAAACUCGAGGCUCAACCUCGAGACGCCGGUGGAAACCGUAAGGCUAGAGUCCGGAAGAGGAGAGUGGAAUUCCUGGUGUAGUGGUGAAAUGCGUAGAUAUCGGGAAGAACACCCGUGGCGAAGGCGGUUCUCUGGGACGGUACUGACGCUGAGACGCGAAAGCGUGGGGAGCGAACAGG
rnacentral:rRNA from 1 species